AGGAAACUUACAGCUUCGUUGGAAAGGAAAAUAGUUCAUGUUUUUAUAGGCAAAAGUGAAAGCAACAAAAUUCAUAAACAUUAAUAAUUCAAAGCAAACUUGCCCCAUUUUUCACGAUUUCCCAUAGUCCAUAAAUUUUUGUUAUUUCUUCAAACAUUAAUUGCCUCAAAGCUCAUUGUGUGAAACGUGAUUUUCUAAGUAUAUGUUUUUGGAAGAUUGAAAUCUUGCUUAUCCAACUCCUGGGAAACAGCCAUAUUUUUGAG